GAUGAACGCUGGCGGCGUGCCUAAUACAUACAAGUCGAGCGAACAGACGAGGAGCUUGCUCCUCUGACGUUAGCGGCGGACGGGUGAGUAACACGUGGAUAACCUACCUAUAAGACUGGGAUAACUUCGGGAAACCGGAGCUAAUACCGGAUAAUAUAUUGAACCGCAUGGUUCAAUAGUGAAAGACGGUUUUGCUGUCACUUAUAGAUGGAUCCGCGCCGCAUUAGCUAGUUGGUAAGGUAACGGCUUACCAAGGCAACGAUGCGUAGCCGACCUGAGAGGGUGAUCGGCCACACUGGAACUGAGACACGGUCCAGACUCCUACGGGAGGCAGCAGUAGGGAAUCUUCCGCAAUGGGCGAAAGCCUGACGGAGCAACGCCGCGUGAGUGAUGAAGGUCUUCGGAUCGUAAAACUCUGUUAUUAGGGAAGAACAAAUGUGUAAGUAACUAUGCACGUCUUGACGGUACCUAAUCAGAAAGCCACGGCUAACUACGUG
rnacentral:rRNA from 1 species